rfam:Faecalibacterium sp. CAG:74 genomic scaffold, scf400
GAGCUUCUUCGGGGCAGGGUGAAAUUCCCUACUGGCGGUACAGCCCGCGACCCUUCCGCACCGCAAUGGGCAGGAAGGCUGAGCCGGUGAGACAAAAGUCAAUUCCGGCGCCAACAGUAUAGUCUGGAUGAGAGAGGAAAGCU